ensembl:lncRNA
UAUUUAUAUAGCCCUUUGUACAUCAGCUGAUAUCUCAAAGUGCUGUACAGAAACCCAGCCUAAAUCCCCAAACAGCAAGCAAUGCAGGUGUAGAAGCACGGUGGCUAGGAAAAACUCCCUAGAAAGGCCAAAACCUAGGAAGAAACCUAGAGAGGAACCAGGCUAUGUGGGGUGGCCUGUCCUCUUCUGGCUGUGCCGGGUGGAGAUUAUAACAGAACAUAGCCAAGAUGUUCAAAUGUUCAUAAAUGACCAGCAUGGUCGAAUAAUAAUAAGGCAGAACAGUUGAAACUGGAGCAGCAGCAUGGCCAGGUGGACUGGGGACAGCAAGGAGUCAUCAUGUCAGGUAGUCCUGGGGCAUGGUCCUAGGGCUCAGGUCCUCCGAGAGAGAGAAAGAAAGAGAGAAGGAGAGAAUUAGAGAAUGCACACUUAGAUUCACACAGGACACCGAAUGGGACAGGAGAAGUACUCCAGAUAUAACAAACUGACCCUAGCCCCCCGACACAUAAACUACUGCAGCAUAAAUACUGGAGGCUGAGACAGGAGGGGUCAGGAGACACUGUGGCCCCAUCCGAGGACACCCCCGGACAGGGCCAAACAGAAAGGAUAUAACCCCACCCACUUUGCCAAAGCACAGCCCCCACACCACUAAAGGGAUAUCUUCAACCACCAACUUACCAUCCUAAGACAAGGCUGAGUAUAGCCCACAAAGAUCUCCGCCACGGCACAACCCAACUGGGGGGCGCCAACCCAGACAGGAUGACCACAACAGUGAAUCAACCCACUCAGGUGACGCACCCCUUCCAGGGACGGCAUGAGAGUGCCCCAGUAAGCCAGUGACUCAGCCCCUGUAGUAGGGUUAGAGGCAGAGAAUCCCAGUGGAAAGAGGGGAACCGGCCAGGCAGAGACAGCAAGGGCGGUUCGUUGCUCCAGAGCCUUUCCGUUCACCUUCCCACUCCUGGGCCAGACUACACUCAAUCAUAUGACCCACUGAAGAGAUGAGUCUUCAGUAAAGACUUAAAGGUUGAGACCGAGUUUGCGUCUCUGACAUGGGUAGGCAGACCGUUCCAUAAAAAUGGAGCUCUAUAGGAGAAAGCCCUGCCUCCAGCUGUUUGCUUAGAAAUUCUAGGGACAAUUAGGAGGCCUGCGUCUUGUGACCAUAGCGUACGUGUAGGUAUGUACGGCAGGACCAAAUCAGAGAGAUAGGUAGGAGCAAGCCCAUGUAAUGCUUUGUAGGUUAGCUGUAAAACCUUGAAAUCAGCCCUUGCUUUGACAGGAAGCCAGUGUAGAAAGGCUAGCACUGGAGUAAUAUGAUUAAAAAAAUGUGGUUCUAGUCAGGAUUCUAGCAGCCGUAUUUAGCACUAACUGAAGUUUAUUUAGUGCUUUAUCCGGGUAGCCGGAAAGUAGAGCAUUGCAGUAGUCUAACCUAGAAGUGACAAAAGCAUGGAUACAUUUUUCUGCAUCAUUUUUGGACAGAAAGUUUCUGAUUUUUGCAAUGUUACGUAGAUGGAAAAAAGCUGUCCUUGAAAUGGUCUUGAUAUGUUCUUCAAAAGAGAGAUCAGGGUCCAGAGUAACGCCAAGGUCCUUCACAGUUUUAUUUGAGACGACUGUACAACCAUUAAGAUUAAUUGUCAGAUUCAACAGAAGAUCUCUUUUUUUUUGGGACCUAGAACAAGCAUCUCUGUUUUGUCCGACUUUAAAAGUAGAAAGUUUGCAGCCAUCCACUUCCUUAUGUCUGAAACACAUGCUUCUAGCGAGGGCAAUUUUGGGGCUUCACCAUGUUUCAUUGAAAUGUACAGCUGUGUGUCAUCCGCAUAGCAGUGAAAGUUAACAUUAUGUUUUCGAAUAACAUCCC